GUCCUAGCCCUAAACGAUCAGGACUUGGGUGCCGCCCGUUCGGGCGUCGUCCCGGAGCUAACGCGUUAAGUCCUGCACCUGGGGAGUACGGUCGCAAGACUGAAACUCAAAGGAAUUGACGGGGCCCGCACAAGCGGUGGAACAUGUGGUUCAAUUCGACGCUACGCGAGGAACCUUACCUGGGCUCGAAAUGCUAGUGACCAGCUUUAGAAAUAUUGCCUUCCCGCAAGGGACACUAGUAUAGGCGCUGCAUGGCUGUCGU
rnacentral:rRNA from 1 species